AAUGUCUUUUAACCGGACUGUUUAGCAAAGCUUCAUUAUGAAUGUAAUUGUGUGCGUGCGCAGGCUCACCGCACGGAGGGAACGCUCACAGUAAAGGUAUGAUUGUAUUGCCCGCUGCCAUGCCAAUUACUGGAUAUUAAUGGCAGGAUGGCAUGCAUAUGCCGGAGCUGGGAAGCAGAAGGUUAAUAGACGAACAGCACCAGAAGAGCCCAUUUAUCAGUUUCUAUUUAUCUCUCCUUGGGAGGUGGCAGGUUUACAGUAAAUACCUUCUGUCCUCCUAAUUUUCUAAUGAUGGGGAUAAUGAUGGAGAAUGCCGGAGUCAUUAACUGGGACAGGCUCUGCGCAUCACUCUGUCAACCACAUCUCCCAAGACCUGCAAUGAGAAGUGAUGGGCCCCAGCUGUUCGCCAGAACCCCUCUUCCUCCCACCCCCUCCCCCCUCAACUGCAGGCUCGGGAAAUUGCUCCCCAGAUGAAGAGGGUGGAGGCCCCGCGUGGGUGAGAAGCACGAGAGAAGGGGAGCGAAGCUCUUGAGACAGAAGCACAGCCUUUCCUGCUCCUCUUCUCUGCAUAGAACUUAGAGGAAGUGCUCUUGAUACACACACUGGAGUGCUUCUCCAGUGAUGCCAGAGCCACUAGGAGUUCUAGGUAGAAAUGGGUAAUGAAGGAGCAAUUGACGUGGAUCUGCCGGGGGAGAGCAGGAAAGCGGAUUUUCUUUUCAGAAACUGGGCGAAAUCAAAAGUCUGUAUAAUUCAUUUCAUAGAGGUAGAGUCUUUUCUUUAACAUGCUGAAGGCAGGCUAAAACAUCCUAGACUGAUUGGCUUGGAUGUGCUUUUUUCCCCCAGCAGUGAUCGUGAGGUGUCUAUUUUAUCUUGUUGUUAUACGUAGAAUCUUUCACCUUUUACUUCCUAUCGAAACAUAACCUGGAUUUACCUCCAUAGUUUCUAGAGCUCUUGGAAAGCUACGAACUUGUUAUUUUUUAUUUUGGGAAGCCCAUUGGCUGUUUCUAGAAUUUGCUCUCUGUAAGUUAAGGCAAGCUGGUAUUUUACCUGUAUGAGUUUUGAUUAUUUUGCUGUCAAAUAAUGGGAGCACACUUAGGCUGACACUAGCCAAACAUAAAAGUUGUCUCCUAAGGGUGUGCAGUUAUCUCUGGAUCAGGGAUGUACUUGGGCCUCAAGAAUAGUCUGAGACUACUGAUAUGGUUAUUGCUGAUACUCUCUCUCUCAUAGACUUUAUGGCUCUCUACUUAAUUCUUUUCUUUUUCUAUAAAUCUGCUCUAUUUUCCUCAGAACACAAGAUGGAAAAAUAGAGCUGCAUACACUGCCGUGAUUUGUGUAUUUCCCAUGCAGAUCUUGAAGAUGGACCAAGUCAACCACUAUCUUCCUUCCUUCCUUCCCCCUCCCUCUUCCUUCCUUUCUUCCUUCAUUCUUUCCUCUCUCUCUUUCCUUCUUCCUUCCUUCCUUCCUUCCUUUCCCCGCUUUCCCCUCCAGGGGUGAAACUCUGCCCCCGUUGUCUUCUCGUACAUCCAGACAUUGGAAUCAGGCACAUGAGCACGUGCACUGUGAGGGGUGGAGCAGAGAUAGGAGGUUGACAGCUAAGCCGACAGCCUGUGAGCUACCCGCUCUGGCUAACCAUCAUAGAACCACCUGCUGGUAGGAGACAGGAUUUUUCUCUUGGGAAAUUUACUCAACACCCUGAACAGUGAUAAGCACUCUCAGCAUCGGACCUGGAUCAGCUCCCCGUUCUCUUAUUCACUGUGUGAUUUUUCCACCUCUCUUUGAUCUCAGCUCUGUAGCAGGAAUGCUAGCACCGUACCUAUGAAGUGGGGAGUCAGGAGGAUUAAAUGAGAUGCUGUCUCAGGUGCUCGGUGAGCACCCCACAUACAGAAAGAGCCCCAAAUGUGUAGUGGCUGUUAUGGUUGUCAGUAUGAAUUGUCCAAGUUUGAAGCGUUUCUGUUCUCCAAAGAUGAGCCGGUCAUUUGUAGCACACGUGCGGUAGACUGUAUUUUCGGAAAGGGCUGCGGUCAUUUUUCCAGCUCUGCAUGCUCUUCCAGAUCCCAACAAGAUGCUGAAUAAUUUCUCUUCGUGUAGAGAUUGGGUGGGGCCUUGUGAGUACCUCAGUGAAUGGAGUGCAGCAGAAGGGAUGCUGACGGACGCUAGAUCACGAAAUACAAUACAGCUUCCAUCACGGCUGGCAUUGCGGGGGCCCCCCACCCAGAAAAACCCCAUGGUAGGCUUGUUUUAAUGCUUUGCGGUAGCUGUCUUGGAAUUCUCAGUUAUUUUUAAACAGGGAGCCCUGCAUUUUCAAUUUGCACUGAGUCUCAAAACUUAUUCCUCGGUGGCUCAGAAACUGACGUUAAUGCCCAUGAGGAUGCGGGUUCGAUCCCUGGCCCUCGCUCAGCGGAUUAAGGAUCCAGUGCUGUUGUGAGCUGUGGCAUAGGUCGCAGAUGCAGCUCAGCUCUGGCGUGGCUGUGGCGAAGGCUGCAGCUGCGGCUCUGAUUCCCUAGCCCGGGAACUUCCACAUGCUGCAGGCGUGGCCUUAAAAACAUUUAAACAAAAUGUUGCUGUCGGUCCUGCUUCCAUGAGGCUCUCUCUCUCUCGGGACUUCCACCUUGGUCUCUCUGAACCAGAGAGAAGACCAGGCACGCUGAAGACAUCAAGCGGGGAGGCCACGUGGAGGUCGCCUGGGGUUGGAAAGAGAUAACCGAGGAACCCCAUUCCUCCAGCCUCAAGCUCCUGGCGUCUUCUCAGCCCAAGUGGCAGGCACGUGAGGGAACAAGUCCUCAGGUGAUUCUACACCCGGCCUUUCCAUCAGUCAGCUGACACUGAGUGGAGCGAGACAAGCUUUCCAGGUCUAACUCUGCUCAGCUGGUAGAUGUGGGAGCAGAGUAAAUGUUGUGGUCUUAAGCUGCUGGGAGAUGAUUCGUGCUGUGGUCACAGGUAAUAGGAGCCAAACCAUUUCAGAAUAACACGGAGAAUGGGGUCUUAGCUGCCAGAGUAGUAGAGGUGAAUGACUAGUUUUUUCCUAAUUUAGAGCACGUCGACACAAAUGAAUGUUAACAUUACACAAAACAUCAUUUUCGUUUUCAUCUUAAAAGGUGUUCAAGAUCUUUUGUAUCACGAUAGUAUCAUUAUUAGUGGCACUAGUUUAUAUUGUUCUACAAACGUGAAGGUAUAACCCAGCAAGGGCACUAUAGGAUAUUGAAAACUAAAAUCACAAAUGCAUGGGAUCACAGAGAAAUAAGUAUAAUAUAAGUCAUAUUAAUACAGCUCUCAGUUCUUGAUUUAAUUCAGGUCUUUUUGCGUGAUUACUCUGCCUUGGGUAUUGCACUGGGUGCUGGAGGUCCAAAGGGAAAUAAGACAAUACAGUCCCUGCUGUCGUGGACGUGAGCAGGCAGGUGUAGGUGAGGAGCAGAUAGCAAACAAAAGUACACAUGAGUGAGUUCAUAAUUAUAAUAUCGUGUGCUAUGAAAAGAAAAGAAAUCAAGCAGAGAGAACAUUCAGAAAGGGCCUCUUUGAGGAGACGCAUUUAAGCUGAGACAUGAAGAACGAAGGGGAGCUGGCUUCAGAGUGUAGGGCAGAGACUAGUGUUCAAAGGCCCUGAGGUGCGCAAGGAAUUUGCACUUUGCCUCCGUGUCAGGGACGGACUGCAGGAGGGAGUCUUUUUGUAAUUGGUGGAAUGUUUGGACAUGGGGACCUGGAAAAAUAUCAGGACCACGUGAGGCAAUUUAUUUAUCUUUUUAAGAAAACAAGGCAUAGUGCUUCUGCCUUAUGUUAUCAGGCUCUCCUUUUCCCCCGUCUUCCUUCUCAGUAGUUUACAGCUGGGAUCUAUGAGACGUCUAGUUGAAGGUAUUUCUUUAAAAAAUAGUCCUGAAUAUUAGAGAGGAAAAAAAAACAAAACACUGUUGCUUUGGGUAGAUGCAAGAAAAAUACUGACUAAGUGAGACUGUUCUGUAAAGUGAUAUUUAAAUAGUACGGCGUUGACGGAAACCCAAGCUGUGAAACGUUCUUUGAGUUGAUUCAUUCAUUCAGUCAAUAAAUACCUAUUGUGUUCCUGUUACGUGGUUGGACUUAGCGCUGGACUAGAUUCUGUGCUCUUGAUAUUUACAAUCUAGAAUCUAGACUGUAGGUAAGAUAGGAGCAAGUAGACCAGCAGUAAUUUUAUAGUCAUCGUAAAGCCCAUGAAAGGGGCAGCAGAGGUACCGAAGCAUCUAAUAUGAAUUUGGGAUAGAAACAAGGAUUUUUUUAAUGUAAACAUAGCACCAUUAUUGGAUAAAGUAACAUAGAUCUUAGGCUUUGAGUGACAAUGUUACUGUCCAUUCAUAGAGUAUUUACUUUGUGGCUUAUCCAUGAUCAAUGUUUAACCUUAGAUUGCCUCUCUCCUGGUUCUGGGAUGUGUUUUAGGAACAGUUCGCAAAUGAUAGUUAAAAGGACAAAGACAAAUCUACUAUAAAAUGCUAUUCGCCGAAAAGAAUUACCAAAAGUCAUGUAAGUAACAUUUGGUUGAUGUGCUUGGAGAGUCUAUGUGAGGCUAGCACAGAAUCUAGUAAGCAUGGAUUCAUUAUUUGUCCCCAUAUUUAUUUCUAUUUUUUUUUUCCUUUCUGAGCAUAGAAAGUUGGUCAGGUUUGGAAACUGAGGAUGCCGAAAAGAACGUGAACCCUGUAAAAGUCAUAAAGCAAAAAUAAAACAGGCAGAAAAGGAAGUUUUGCCUUGAGUUUAAAUUCCUUCAUUCUGAGUCACAAUCUAUGUCUUCAUCAUUUGAACAUUGGGAAAGUAGUAUUUUUAAUGAUUUCAUGACUGCUCUAUAGAGUAUAAAAUGAAAGAAAUGAGUGGGAAAAUUCUGUCUCUUAGUAAUACAGAUUUCUCUUAGAAGAUCCAUUGUCUGACAUUGGAGCAAUUUCCCUGAAUCACUCCUGAAACUCUACUUUUUAAAAAAAUCAAUAAGACCUCUCGUUGUGUUGCAGAAUUACACAAUCUAUUUUAGGGAAAAAAGUAAUUUUAUCUUAGAAUACAUUUGGCAGUUUUAAUUCUGUUCUUUAAACAUUUUCCUACAAGAGGCCGAGCAGCUGCUUAUUUUGUGAUGUUUUUCAGGUGUCUGGUUGUCCACACAGAUGAGCUCUAUUUUAAACACAUGACCAAAAUCAACAGUACCCAA
rnacentral:lncRNA from 1 species